rnacentral:rRNA from 1 species
CCUACGGGUGACAGCAGUCGAGAAUCAUUCACAAUGGGGGAAACCCUGAUGGUGCGACGCCGCGUGGGGGACUGAAGGUUAUCGGAGUGUAAACUCCUGUCUUGUGGGAGCAUAUUAAAAAGAUCGUACCCGAAGAGGAAAAGACGGCUAAAUCUGUGCCAUCAGCCGCGGUAAUACAGAGGUCUCAAGCGUAGUUCGGAAUCACUGGGCGUAAGGCGUGCGUAGGCUGUUUCGAAAGUCGUGUGUGAAAGGCGCGGGCCAAAGCCGCGAACGGCACAUGAUACUGCGGGACUAGAGUAAGGGUGGGGGAACAGGAAUGCUCGGUGUAGCAGUGAAAUGCGUAGAUAUC